rnacentral:lncRNA from 1 species
GAAGGAAUUGCUGAUCUCCUUGUUAGGAAGUUGAGAGGUUGGGUUGCGAGAUUCAGUGUUUGCAAUGGUGGUUGGUGGUAUGGCAUCCUUAAGUUUCUGCCAUCUCUGGUAGUGGUAGCCAGAGGUGUCAGCAGAACCAAGCUUGUGUUUCUUGUGCAUGUGUGCUUAAAGUUUGUCGUUCAGGUUGGUGAGGUAUUGUAUCGGGAAAGCGU